AGCAUUUGAUGUGACCUGUUGAGGCAAA
rnacentral:piRNA from 1 species